rnacentral:rRNA from 1 species
AGCGAACGCUGGCGGCAGGCUUAACACAUGCAAGUCGAACGGGCGUAGCAAUACGUCAGUGGCAGACGGGUGAGUAACACGUGGGAACGUACCUUUUGGUUCGGAACAACUGAGGGAAACUUCAGCUAAUACCGGAUAAGCCCUUACGGGGAAAGAUUUAUCGCCGAAAGAUCGGCCCGCGUCUGAUUAGCUAGUUGGUGGGGUAAGAGCCCACCAAGGCGACGAUCAGUAGCUGGUCUGAGAGGAUGAUCAGCCACAUUGGGACUGAGACACGGCCCAAACUCCUACGGGAGGCAGCAGUGGGGAAUAUUGGACAAUGGGCGAAAGCCUGAUCCAGCCAUGCCGCGUGAGUGAUGAAGGCCCUAGGGUUGUAAAGCUCUUUUAACGGGGAAGAUAAUGACGGUACCCGUAGAAUAAGCCCGGCUAACUUCGUGCCAGCAGCCGCGGUAAAGUCUGUACU